rfam:Legionella sp. 40-6 scnpilot_expt_750_p_scaffold_12558, whole genome shotgun sequence.
AAGAUAGAUGAAGUUAGCUAACCAGCGAGCUGGCUACCAUACUUCACUGACCUUAUUCGCACCUUCGGUGCUCAACGCAAAAAGCAUUUU